CGCCCCGACCCCUGUCUCCCUCUGCCGGGGCGGGGGGGCGGGGGCUGCCCCCGGGCUGCAGGGCCUUGCACGCCGGGCCUGGGGAGAAACGAGUGGGCGAAACGGAGCGUUGGCUGCCACACCACAGAGACGCCUUGUCAUCUAAGGCUGAGUCCCGUUCAAAGCCGAAUUCCAGAGAUUGUGAAGAGCAAGAGGAAGGAGUAGGAGCCUGCAUGCUUGUUUGCUCCGCCAUGCCAUGGUGGUGAUGAGUGGGGCGAGGCUGCUGCAGAGAGGAGAGAAGAAAGGACAUGGAGCCUGUACCCAGGGAGCCUGUAUCCAAGGCGGCAGGAGGGUGGCUGGGGACCUGCCCACCCCUGAGAAGAAAACCCACGGCCUGGAGACAUCUAUUUUUUGUUGCAGAUUUGGAGAGUCAGGGACUCUUGUCUCAGAAGAGUGGGGGCCCUCGGGAAAAGGGGGGCCCUGAUGAAGCAACGGAACAACAGAGGCCCAGGAAGAGCCAAACUAAUAGAAACUAAGGACGGAGAAAAAUGAAUGAUGGUAUAAAUUGGGCAAACGUGACUUUACACCCUCUCAAGUCCUUUUGUACACCCCAGAUAUGCUGCUCAGUACAUCGUUCUUUCCUUCAUCCUUCAUGACACCCCCUCCUGAUCAUCACUUUCAGGAAAGAUGUAGAGACAAUGGAUCAUCAAAAAUAAGAGCAACAACAUGGAUGGAAUGAGUGAGGGGAACUUACGGGAAGCAAACAAAGGCAUGAAGCUAACAGAGGAGUUAGAAUGAGAAACAUUGUUCUUUCCAGUUCAAUACAAUCAAAUCUCAGAGUGGAUCUGGUAGUUAGCCUGUGUUUUUCACUUCCUAAAAAAAUAUAGGAUAAAAGCAACCACUUUGCUUAUAUCCAGAUUCCUUACUUCCAUGUAAAUAAUGGAGGGGUUAGGAAAUAAGAGUGAAAAUCUCCGUAGAUGAGGAAAUGAAGGGGAUUGGCAAGAUGUGGAAUCAGACGGUUAAUCAACAGAGGAAGGCUCCAAGCCGCGAGGAGGGGAGGGACCACAAAAGAAGGCUCCACAGGGGUGUGGUAUCCAGGACCAAGGAGCCCUGUCCCCACUCUCCAGCACCCCAGGCCACUUUCAUCUCAAGGGUCUACACUCAGUGAAAUGCUUUUUCGGCUCCUGUCUCCCCAUCAGUGUAUCAAUGUAUCCCCAGGGCAGUUUCUAACACAUAGUAGAUGGUCCAUCAGUGCUUGUUGGACUUGGGUCUAAGGGCCUUGGAUGGAAGAACCAGUACAAGGAAAACACAUCGUGUGAGAUGGAGAUGAUGAAAAACAGUAGUAAGGGGCAAAAGGAAAGACAUCUUUCAGGUGUUGGUUCAGAUCUUUCCUGAGCCUUCUAGGAUGGAGUGCUCCUCCUGUGGGUUUCCCCAGCAACAUGUGCUUCCUUCACUGCAGUGCACAGAGGCCUGAUGGGUAACUGCCUGUCUCUCUUCCCCCGUGAUCUUCAGGCUUUGAGCAGAUGGUGGGUGUGCCCAUCUGGCUCAUGAUGAUGUUCUAGAAUCUAGCAUGGUGCCUGGUUUAUUGUGGUUGUUCAAUAUAUAUUAUUUUUUUUUAAAGAUUUUAUUUUUAUUUUUUGAGAGACAGAGAGAGAGAGCACAAGUUGGGGGGAGGCAUAGAGGGAGAGGGAGAAGCAGACUCCCCGCUAAGCAGGGAGCCCAACGCCAGCUUCAUCCCAGGACCCCUGGAUCAUGACCUGAGCUGAAAGCAGAUGUUUGACUGAGCCACCCAGGACCCCCCCACUAUUUUGAAUGAGUGAGAAAAUGAGACCAAAGUUAAAGGAAGAGUCUCAUGAAGAAAUAAAGAAAUUUGUUUUAAAAAUGACAGAGGGCAUGAAAAGAUGUUUAGACACCUCUGAAUAAAGAAAUUUAAUUUGAAAAAAAUAAAGACUCUAUAGUGAGAAACAGGGAAGGACACUAUGAGAGCAAUGAUAAUGUGAUAUGAUCUAGAAUUUUGGUUUCCUUAUCUAUAAAAUGAAAUUAAUUAUCACACCUCCUUUUUGUAAGGGUUAAAUGACACCGUGUGUGAAGUGUUGAGUAUUUUGUGGCCUCUACAAUUAAGACUGUUAGGUUGUAAGUGAUAGAAGCCCAGUGUGAAGUUAUUUAUGAGAAAGAAAGAGGACAUUGUUUUACUGGCUUAUGUACCCAAGCCAAGAGGAGGGCAGGGAGGGGGCAGCAUGAGUACUGUGGUGAACCCCAGAUUCCCUUGGUGUGUUGGACUCAUCCUUUCCAACUCCAGCUGCUCCAGCUGUCUUUAGAAACCUGCCACUGUGGCCAACAUCAACUCCAGGUUCAUGGCAACAGUUUUUCAGAUAAAAAGGGAAACGGGGCUUCUCUCUCUGGACCCCAAAUCAACAGAGCCCAAGAAGAUCUGUGAUGAGUCCCAUCCGGUUGUGUCCUUACCUCUUAUGUUCCACACCAUGCUCAGGAACCUGAUGCACCAUGGAUGCCCUACUCUGGGUCACAUGCUGAAACUACUGAGCCACCCAGGUGCCCCACAUGCUCAUUUUUCAAAAGAGGACCAAAGCAUUGAAGAAAUCAGCAUAGUCCAGGACCUCAACCCAAUUUCUAUCUCUGAUAUUCAGUAAAUGAAAUCUAUUAAGGUAGGAGCAGUCAUAAUAAAAUGCAGUGAAGGAAAUAAGGAGAGGAAAUGAUCAAGUUUUCCUUCAAUUUGUCCACUCUGUCCUUAGUUUAAUAAUAUGGACCUGCCGCAGAUUUGUACCUUGGUCCCUACUCUGUAUCUGAUAGCUUAAAAAAUUGGAAGCCACACACUGCACUAUGUAGAAAUCCAUGUCCAGAUUUGGUUGACCUGUCAGCCACACUCAAGAUGAUCGGCACCUUGGCACUGUUUCCUUUUCCCUCCUCUUGUCUGAAUAAAUAAAUGUCAAAUUCCACAGAAGGCACCAUGCCUUCUAUUUUCUUUUGUGUACCUUACCUUGCCUUAUUCACAGGAUGCCAUGUUCCCAGUGUUUAUCGAGUGCCUUUUAAUAAUCAAAUGAACAAGCAAGUGGAUGAACAAGUAACAUCAUCAACCAUCAACCAUGUUACAAGAUGAAACUUGUGCGUCAAAAUGUUUUCUCUAAAAGUAACUGGGGGCGCCUGGCCAGCUCAGUAGGAAGAGCACACAGCUCUUCAUCUUCGGGUUGUGAGUUUGGGCCCCAUGUUGGACCCAAAGAGAUUACUUAAAUAUAUAAAAAAAACUUUA